rnacentral:lncRNA from 1 species
GGAAAUUUAUGUGCUCAACCUAUAUUGCAAACUGCACGAUCAAGACGCUCACGAAUAUCACCACUUCUCCACGUGAAGGGGCCACCGAUGUAACCUAGAUCCUCCAACCCACAAUCCAUGAGACACUCAUAGAACUCUCUCAUCAUUCCAUUUGGUCUCAACAUUCACGCCGUGCUUUUCUGAAGAAUAUAAAAUUUCAUUAAAAUCCCCCAAAAUCACCCACUGGUGAUCGCCCUUGCUAUGCAAAUUGCGAAUAUCAUUCCAACAUAAAUUGCAUUCAUUCCAAUUCGGAGGACCGUAAAAACCCGUGAAGAUCCAUUAUACAAUAUCUUCAUGCAUAAACAAAAUAUUGAUAAAAUGAGACGAUAGAUAGUUCAACUCAAUUUUAUUCAAAGUUUGUUAAAAUAGAAUAAGGCCACCGGCCCAACCAUCACUUUCCACUACAAGCAUAGACUCAAAGUUUAAGACACGACAUAACUCACCAGCUUUACAUUUAUUCAAGUGAGACUCUGAAAAAAAACUAAAUCUACCCUUGUGCGUUCUUGAAGCUCCAAAAGCUCACGAACUGCCGUGUGGGAGAGCAUACCACGGCAGUUCCACCCUAAGAUUUUCAUUUGUCCCCGCGGUCCUCCUCCUCGAAGGCCGCUAAUGCGCCGUUAUCAUCUUUCUUCUCACCAACCGAUUUCACCCCUUGCUGAACAUAUACUUCUUCUUUCUCCUCAGUCUCCUUUGGCACAUUCUUCACGCCUCCCUUCACGUCCUACACUACUUCAACUCUAUCCGUGCACACCGGUUUAGAUCAAACAAUUACAUCUCCAUAUAGAAUACGCUCAUAGCUAUAAGGGAUUUCUCAAAAGAAAAUUCUACGUCGCUUCCCGUUGGCCUAGCUUCAGGAAGGCGUCCCCUUUUUUUACCUAGGACCAGCUUGCUUGCAUCCUCGUAUUUCUCCGUU